rnacentral:rRNA from 1 species
GAGGAGCCUGCGGCGGAUUAGCUUGUUGGUAAGGUAACGGCUUACCAAGGCGACGAUCCGUAGCCGGCCUGAGAGGGCGGUCGGCCACACUGACACUGACAUACGGGUCAGACUCCUACGGGAGGCAGCAGUCGGGAAUUUUGGGCAAUGGGCGAAAGCCUGACCCAGCAACGCCGCGUGAAGGAUGAAAUCCCUCGGGAUGUAAACUUCGCAAGAAUGGGAAGAAUUAGUAGGGGACAAUACCCCCUGUGAUGACGGUACCAUUUGUAAGCUCCGGCUAACUCCGUGCCAGCAGCCGCGGUAAUACGGGGGGAGCAAGCGUUGUUCGGAUUUACUGGGCGUAAAGGGCGCGUAGGCGGCCAGCACAAGUCGGUUGUGAAAUCUCCGGGCUUAACUCGGAAAGGUCAACCGAUACUGUGCGGCUAGAGUGCGGAAGGGGCAACUGGAAUUCUCGGUGUAGCGGUGAAAUGCGUAGAUAUCGAGAGG